GGUUGGUGCAAAAGUAAUUGUGGUUUUUGUCAUUGAAGGUAAUGGCCAAAUUCACAAUUACUUUUGCACCAACCUAAUA
rnacentral:miRNA from 1 species